rnacentral:rRNA from 1 species
ACUCCUACGGGAGGCAGCAGUGGGGAAUAUUGCACAAUGGGCGCAAGCCUGAUGCAGCCAUGCCGCGUGUAUGAAGAAGGCCUUCGGGUUGUAAAGUACUUUCAGCAGUGAGGAAGGUGGAGUCGUUAAUAGCGGCCUCAUUUGACGUUAGCUGCAGAAGAAGCACCGGCUAACUCCGUGCCAGCAGCCGCGGUAAUACGGAGGGUGCGAGCGUUAAUCGGAAUUACUGGGCGUAAAGCGCACGCAGGCGGCUUGUUAAGCUAGAGGUGAAAGCCCCGCGCUCAACGUGGGAACUGCCUUUAGAACUGGCAGGCUAGAGUCUUGGAGAGGGGAGUGGAAUUCCAGGUGUAGCGGUGAAAUGCGUAGAUAUCUGGAGGAACAUCAGUGGCGAAGGCGGCUCCCUGGCCAAAGACUGACGCUCAUGUGCGAAAGUGUGGGUAGCGAACAGGAUUAGAUACCCUGGUAGGAUAGCGU